UUAAUCACAGCGGACGGAGUCCAAUAUUGCAAUUUUCUCGCGCGAAAGAAUAAUCUCCCGUCUCGUCGUCUACUCCGCUCCUUGUGCCAUCUCGCGGCGGAACAGGGGAGGGGAGGGGCGGCGAUCUCCAUCCGGCGAGCGGCGAGCGGCGAGCAGCGAGCAGAGCAGAGCAGGGGAGGAGAUCCUGAUUCAUGUUCUUCAUUUCUGUGCUGGUUAGUAUUUCCAAUCACCAACGCUUUCUUCAAGAAUGGAGUUACAGGAGGAUGAAUCCAGUGACGAAGUGUUCAUGAAGCAGAUGCUAAGGAAUCUGAUGUUUCAUGAACUUAACCGAGCAAAUUAUAGAAACCAGUUACCAAAUGUUUACAGCAUUUGUACAGUUCAAAUUGAGCAACUGUUGUAGUUGGAGUUUUAUGUCAGUCUGCUUUCACAUUUGAAAAUUUACAGUUACACAACAGGGUAGUCAAUAAACAUGAAAGUAAAAAAAGAAAAUCAAGCUUAUAUUUUUUAUGACAUUUUCUUCCAUCGGUGAUAUCUCUAUUCUAUUUUAUUUGGUAAUAAUAAUUUAUGAACAACUGAAUUCAUCUAGGAGUAAUGGAGUAUGAGGUAAAGUGCAGUAGUGCUGUCA